AAGACCUUACUUCUACAGGAUCAUUUCUAUAGGUCUUAUCGCGAUCAUUUUCCCGAAUUUUCGCGUGUCUCAAGCCACGAUGAGGAGUUGCGGUGAUCUCUCUUGAGCGGGAAGUGGGCUGGAGUUCCUCCUCACCGAGGAGCUCCAGCCGUUGAAGACCGUUCCGUUACCUGUCUUGGCAGGGAGCGGGGGAGAGAUCACGUUCCGAGUGGU